rnacentral:rRNA from 1 species
GACGAACGCUGGCGGCGUGCCUAAUACAUGCAAGUCGAACGCAGUGGGGACGGGUGAGUAACACGUGGGUAACCUCCCAUCAGAGGGGAUAACACCUGGAAACAGGUGCUAAACCCACACUGAUGGAUGGACCCGCGGUGCAUUAGCUAGUUGGUGAGGUAACGGCUCACCAAGGCCACGAUGCAUAGCCGGCCUAGGAGGUUGAUCAGCCACACUGGAACUGAGACACGGCCCAGACUCCUACGGGAGGCAGCAGUGGGGAAUCUUCGGCGAUGGACGAAAGUCUGACCGAGCAACGCCGCGUGAGUGAAGAAGGUUUUCGGGUGGUAAAGCUCUGGUAUUAGAGAAGCGGUAUCUAACCAGGAAGCCACGGCUAACUCCGUGCCAGCAGCCGCGGUAAUUC